CUGUACCUGAUCGCCUCUUCAGCUGUCUUUCCCAACGUGCCAGACUUUGAGUCUCUUUAGUUUUAUAUUGAGCAGCUCCCUCUAAAGUCACUGGUAAAACUUUCUAGAAAGAGCAGACCCUACAGACGACAAGUCAGACAGUGAGCUCCCUGACUGAAGGUGGCUUGAAGUCAGGUAUUCUCCUUUUGAACAUUUUAAAUCAGGGUAUUGUGCUCAUGACUUCCAACGGCAGGAGAGUGGUUCUGUUGACCGGCAAAGCAGGAAGAGGCCUGAGAGAUGAAGUAACAAAACAGGAGUUGUGGCUGGGGCAAAAGUCAGAGAAAAGGAAUUUGCCCAGCUGCUUCAGUAUUUCAUUUUCCAGAGAAACUAGUCACCAAAGUGGAUAAUAGAGGAGAAUGUCUCUUCAUUCUUUCAAAAUGUCCAUGUCACUGUAAGAAAACAAUACACUGCAGCUGCCUGGGUCGGGGGGAAGCGGGGAGUGGGGGAGGGCUCCUCUCCGCUCAGAAUGCCGGUCUGGAGAGAAGUUUUCCUUAGAAGUCAUUUCUGUUGCUCAUGUCAGCCCACACUAACUGUCUGUAUUUAGAUUUUUAGCCCAUGUAGCAGAACCUAUCUGUAAGUGGUCUUUCUUUUCAUCAGUCUGCUAGAAUUAAGGAUCUCAAAAGUGGAGAGAAUACUGUUCCUAACCAAUCUAUUUGGAGGGAUGCUUCUGUUUAUGAAUACCCCAUCCUCAUCCUUUUACUGAAAAGUCUGUUACUAAUUACUCAGUAGAAAGGUAAACACUUGACAGGAAGAUUGAGGGGGGGGAAAUCUCUCAAACAACUUUUUUCCUAACAGUUUUUCUCCCUCUUUUGUAAAUUACUUAUCAUUUGUGUGCCCUGAUGUUUUGCCUGCAUGUAUGUCUAUGUGAGGGUUCAGGUCCCCUAAAGGUGGAGGCACUAAUGAUUGUGAACUUCUAUGUGGGUACUGGCAAUGGGCCCUCUGGAAGAGCAGCCAAGUGCUCUCAGCCAUGGAGCCAUCUCCCCAGCCCAACAAGAGCUUUUCAUAAGACAUGAAACUUUCUGUGCUCAGGAAGAAAAGCAGUGAAGGCACACAGAUAGCCAGGAGGAAUGCAGGGCACACAGAUAGCCAGGAGUGCAGGGCACACAGACUGGAGGAGGGAAAGGGGGGUGGAUAAGAUGGCAAAGGGGAACUGAACACAUGGCAGCCCAUCACAUCAGACCAGUCCCUUCCUUUAGAAAAGGCUCAUACCUCCUACCAUAGAGAGCUUCCCCAGGGGAAGUCUGGUGUUGGCAGAACCUUGGUGAUUAGCUCUUGAGGAAAAAAAAAAGAAUAAGCCUGUAGCCUUGUUUCAAAUAUUUUGCUAAUAUGGUUUUUUUUUUGUUUCCUGUCGUCCUGCCCGUCGCCCCAAGCCUUUUGGGUUUGCACGGAAAGGCUAGGUUGACAGUUCCUGGGAACUCACACUGCCUCAUAUG